rnacentral:sRNA from 24 species
UACAAUUACAGGUAUAUGUACACUGUUCAAACAUCUGAACUGUGAUUAAAGCAAUUAAGCGUAUGUUAAGUACGUCGCACUCAGAUGGGAAAGCACCGUGAGGUGCUUUUUUUGUUAAUGA